GAGACACAGGCAGAGAGAAGUGACUGAGGAUGUGUCUUAGGGGACUCCCAAGCCUUCCUCCCAGAAGGGGUGGUUCCUGGGAGGACCUGCAGAGGAGCUCCUGUGUCUCCUCAGGCCCUUUCUUCGGCGCCCUCUUGUGGCAGCUGAGAGCAGGCCCAGGGCAGAAGGGAGGCAGGGGCAUUGAGAGUUCAGGCCUCCAGCAGAGGGACUGCAGAUUUAGGGGAAGCUGACCCUGGAAUUAACAGGCUCAGACCUUGGAGGGGGCAGUCCCACAACAGGCUCCUACCCUGCCCUUCAGAGUUGCAGCAGCUAAUGCUGAUGCCAGGACCUUGUCCUGACAGGAAGCCUCUGAUUAGGGCCCUGAACCAAGUUCCUUUUCGCAUCUGCAGACACAUGGAGGCAACCACUCAAGGCCACUCUGAGAAGGGUUGAACGUGCUUUAAAUUAAAAGGACUGAGGAUCAUGUGUGUUGGUGUGUCUUGGACUCUGCUCUAAGACUCAUGGAGGCAACCACUCAAGGUCACUCUGAGAAGGGUUGAACGUGCUUUAUUAAAAGGACUGAGGAUCAUGUGUGUUGGUGUGUCCCGGAGUCUGCUCUAAGGUAAAUAUGUGUGUGUGUGUGUUGGGGGGGCAGGGGUUGUGCCUGUAAUCCUGUGUGUGUGACCUCCUUAUUAGAGGAUUUUUGUUCAUUAAAGUAGGAGUGUGAAUUUGUUUGUUUGCUUGUUUGUUUUUAAAGUAGUACUGGGUGCCAUGUCAUGCAAUAUUUGGAACAUACUUAAACUAAAAACUUGUUAUUUUUCUGUACUUCCAAUUCCCCCGGUAUUGUAUAUUUUAUUUGUCAUCCCUACCCUCAGAAAGCAGACUAAUAUCUGCAGUGCACCUGGAUUCACAGUUGGAAAUAUAGGGGACAAAAAAAGUAUAGUAAUAUUAUUGUGAAAAUUCAGUAAGGCAUAGGCAGAUUAUCACCACCUCUGUAAGAAUAUAUAGAGACACAUGUUUGAAAGAUGCAUAAUGAGAUGUAGAACAGUGUCUCUCUCAGUUGUUGUGUUGUCCUAGCUCAGAGAAUUCAGUUUCUGCUGUCAUCACAGCUGGGAAUGAGAAAGGGAGGGGGCUCCGGUUGGUCUCCCUCUGCCUCUGGAGCACACGUGCAGGACAUGAGGCUGCUGUAGGAGCAGCUCUGAAAGCUGAGUUCUCGGGGUCCUUGUGAAGGAGGAAAGCUUCCAUGCCUUGGAGCAUGAAAAAGUCUUGCUGGACAGAAGUCUCAUGGUUUAAAAAUGGGAAGGGAGAGGAUUGAGAUCACACUAGAAUGCACAGAAAAUUCUUAAAACAAAAAAAUAAUGAGAGAAAUUUCAUCAGAAUGUGAAAAGAACUAUAAAGCUACAGUGCUGAAGAGAGGGCAAUACUGGCACUAGAAUGAGAAGAUUCAUGGAACACAGUAGAAAAUCCAGAAAGAAAGCCGCAUGCAUGUAAUAUUUUAUCAUGUGAUAAAGUGAUAUGUUAAUAUCCACAAGGAAAUAGUCAAUUAUUUUAUAAGUUCUCUUUUGGGUAUUGACUUACCAUAUGGAAACAAAUAUUAUUGCAUUUCGUUCUUACCAGAUAUAGAUAGUGAUUUAGUUGUAAUAAAAACAAAAUCAUUACACUUAAACAAUGAUGAAUUGCAUAGAAAUUCUAGGUGAGAUUGGCCUUUCUAAGCUUGACAUCAAACUAGACACCCUAGAAAAAUUGAUAGAUUUUAAUGCUUUUUUUUUCAAAGUUCAAUUCACCAAAAGGUGCCAAAUGUAAAUAAUAACAAAUGAGGGGAAAUAUCUUCAACACAUUCGAUAAAGGGUCAGUAUCUUUAAAAUAGUGUAUCUUAACUCUUACGAAAUAAUAAGAAAAAAUUAAUCCUCCAAGAGAGGAAUAGGCAAAGAGUAUGACAUGGCAAUUCACAAAAGAAGAACUAUAAAUAACCUAUAAAGUUGUGAAAUAAUACUAGUACUCCCAAAGAUGGGGGAAUGCAAACUGAAUUUACAAAUCUCAUUUUCGGAACCACAGAGCUUGGAUUGCAAUCAUUAUCAAAUUAAAGCAUAUGACUUAGGGAAUGUUAAUUAACCGCCCAAUUUCUAAUGUUACAUUCAACAGUACUUUAAACCUUAAUGAAGUUUCUGUGUAGAUUAAAUAAAAUAUGCAUGUAAUGUGCUUAGUACAUUAACUACCAGAAUGUCAGUACCCAUAUGUACCAUCAAUAUUAUUAUUAUCGUUAUUCAUUUUUUUGAGACAGAGUCUCACUCUGUUGCCCAAACUGGACUGCAGUAGUGUGAUAUUAGCUCACUGAAAACUCCACCUACCAGGCUCUACAGAUUCUCCUGCUUCAGCAUCCAAGUAGCUGGGAUUACAUGUGUGUGCCACUACAGCCAGCUAAUUUUUUGUAUUUUUACUAGAGACAGGGUUUCACCACGUUGGCUGAGCUGGUCACAAUCUCCCGGCCUAAGUGAUCCUAACGACUGGACUGCCCAAAUGCUGGGAUUACAGGCAUGAGCCACCGGGCCUGGCCAGUAUUAUUAUUACUAAUACAGUAAUUAUUGUAUAAAAAUUCCUGAUAGAUCAGUGAUGCCAUCAUUAAAUAAUCAAUGCAUAAAAACAUUCAAAUAAAUGAUAUGGACAUCUUUAUGCAUGCUUAUGAAGUAUGUGCACCUUUAGAAGUAAGACACACAGUCCAGACACAGGAAAAUAUAAGAUUGAUUAAAAUAUAUAGAAACUGAAUAUCAGAAAGAAAAUAUAAAUAUGGCAUUCAAAUAGAAAGAAUACAUACUCCGCUAUGAAAAACAGAGUGAAACAGCUCAAGUGAACUGCCAAAAAUAUUGUUACCUAUAGUGUCAGGGAGAAAAGAAGAAUGAGAAGUCUACAAUGGAAGCUAAAAUCUUCAAAUGCAUCAUCUUUUAUGAUUUUGACUUCACUUCCAUGUAAAUGUUUUAUAUAUGCAAAACAGAUAUGAAACAAAACAAAGUAAUACAACAAAUUUCCAAAAUGUAAAAAAGAAAACUGAACAAUUAAAGUAGCUAUAUCAAUGUUGACAUGAACACAUAGAGAAAAAUUAUUUCAAAUGAUUUUGUGGAAAAAGUAUUCUGAUUAUGUACCCA
ensembl:lncRNA TRG-AS1 T cell receptor gamma locus antisense RNA 1